GAUCAUGGCUCAGAACGAACGCUGGUGGCGUGUCUUAUACAUGCAAGUCGAGCGAGGCAGCAAUGCCGAGCGGCGAACGGGUGAGUAACGCGUAAGCAAUCUGCCCCAUAUCAGGAAAUACCCGUGCCAACGCGCGGUUAAUGUCCAGGAGAGUGGCCCCCUGCAUGGGGGGUUGACUAGAGAUUUAUCGGUAUGGGAUGAGCUUGCGUCCGAUUAGCUAGUUGGCGGGGCAACGGCCCACCAAGGCGACGAUCGGUAGCCGGCCUGAGAGGGUGAUCGGCCACGAUUGGGACUGAGAUACGGCCCAGACUCCUACGGGAGGCAGCAGUAGGGAAUAUUGCACAAUGGGGGAAACCCUGAUGCAGCAACGCCACGUGUGGGAAGAAGCAUUUCGGUGUGUAAACCACUGUCAUGAGGGAAUAAGGCCCUUAUUCGUAAGGGAUUGAAUGUACCUCGAGAGGAAGCACCGGCAAACUUCGUGCCAGCAGCCGC
rnacentral:rRNA from 1 species